rnacentral:rRNA from 1 species
UGGGGAAUAUUGCACAAUGGGCGCAAGCCUGAUGCAGCCAUGCCGCGUGUAUGAAGAAGGCCUUCGGGUUGUAAAGUACUUUCAGCGGGGAGGAAGGCGAUAAGGUUAAUAACCUUGUCGAUUGACGUUACCCGCAGAAGAAGCACCGGCUAACUCCGUGCCAGCAGCCGCGGUAAUACGGAGGGUGCAAGCGUUAAUCGGAAUUACUGGGCGUAAAGCGCACGCAGGCGGUCUGUCAAGUCGGAUGUGAAAUCCCCGGGCUCAACCUGGGAACUGCAUGUGAAACUGGCAGGCUAGAGUCUUGUAGAGGGGGGUAGAAUUCCAGGUGUAGCGGUGAAAUGCGUAGAGAUCUGGAGGAAUACCGGUGGCGAAGGCGGCCCCCUGGACAAAGACUGACGCUCAGGUGCGAAAGCGUGGGGAGCAAACA